GAACGCACAUUGCGCCCUUUAGUAUUCUAGUGGGCAUGCCUGUUCGAGCGUCAUUUCAACCCUUAAGCUUAGCUUAGUAUUGGGAAUCUGCUUAACCGCAGCUCCUUAAAUCUAGUUGGCAGAGCACAGCUGUACUCUGAGCGUAGUAAUUCAUUAUCUCGCUUCUGGAAGACAGCCGUACGAUCGCCACAAACCUAUUUAUUUUUUAAUGGUUGACCUCGGAUCAGGUAGGAAUACCCGCUGAACUUAAG
rnacentral:misc_RNA from 1 species